UACGAAGGGGGCUAGCGUUGUUCGGAUUUACUGGGCGUAAAGCGCACGUAGGCGGAUCGUUAAGUUAGGGGUGAAAUCCCGAGGCUCAACCUCGGAACUGCCUUUAAUACUGGCGAUCUAGAGUCCGGAAGAGGUGAGUGGAACUCCUAGUGUAGAGGUGGAAUUCGUAGAUAUUAGGAAGAACACCAGUGGCGAAGGCGGCUCACUGGUCCGGUACUGACGCUGAGGUGCGAAAGCGUGGGGAGCAAACAGG
rnacentral:rRNA from 1 species